AGCGAACGCUGGCGGCAGGCCUAACACAUGCAAGUCGAACGAAGUCUUCGGACUUAGUGGCGGACGGGUGAGUAACACGUGGGAACGUGCCUUUAGGUUCGGAAUAACUCAGGGAAACUUGUGCUAAUACCGAAUGUGCCCUUCGGGGGAAAGAUUUAUCGCCUUUAGAGCGGCCCGCGUCUGAUUAGCUAGUUGGUGAGGUAAAGGCUCACCAAGGCGACGAUAAGUAGCUGGUCUGAGAGGAUGAUCAGCCACAUUGGGACUGAGACACGGCCCAAAAUCCUACGGGAGGCAGCAGUGGGGAAUCUUGCGCAAUGGGCGAAAGCCUGACGCAGCCAUGCCGCGUGAAUGAUGAAGGCCUUAGGAUUGUAAAAUUCUUUUACCAGGGACGAUAAUGACGGUACCUGGAGAAAAAGCCCCGGCUAACUUCGUGCCAGCCGCCGCCGUAAUAC
rnacentral:rRNA from 1 species